CAAGUGGAGGUCUGGAACUAAAUGUGGAUGCUAUUCUUGCAUUCAGAGAAUCAAAAGAAGUUUCUGAAGAUGAUAGCUUUGAAAAAUUAGAUGUCUCUCCCGAGGAUUUUGAGUUUGUUGAACUGGGAAGCCUGAAAACAAUGGAAUCCAAAAGAAUUGUUUUCAAAAAGUCAGAUUUUAAUGAAGAAGAACAAAGUGAAAUGGAAGUAAUGAAAUUUUUGUAUGGAGAUCAAUCUUCUACGAUUAGUGGAUUAGAAACUUGCAUGAAUAUAAACUUUAAUCACCUUUGUGACCUUUAUCAGCCAAUAUUGUGGCCUGUUUUGCCUGUUCGUUUGUAACUUUGUUGUUGAUUUUAUGAAAUAAAUUUUACUUUCUUUA